CCUACGGGAGGCAGCAGUGGGGAAUCUUGCGCAAUGGGCGAAAGCCUGACGCAGCAACGCCGCGUGCGGGAAGAAGGCUUUCGGGCUGUAAACCGCUUUCAGCAGGAACGAAAAUGACGGUACCUGCAGAAGAAGGAGCGGCCAACUAUGUGCCAGCAGCCGCGGUGAUACAUAGGCUUCAAGCGUUGUCCGGAUUUAUUGGGCGUAAAGAGUUCGUAGGCGGUCAAGUAAGUCGGGUGUGAAAAUUCUGGGCUCAACCCAGAGACGCCACCCGAUACUGCUUAACUUGAGUUCGAUAGGGGAGUGGGGAAUUCCUAGUGUAGCGGUGAAAUGCGCAGAUAUUAGGAGGAACACCGGUGGCGAAGGCGCCACUCUGGAUCGAUACUGACGCUGAGGAACGAAAGCAUGGGUAGCAAACAGGAUUAGAUACCCUGGUAGUCCAUGCCGUAAACGGUGGGCACUAGGUGUGGGGUUUACCUAUUAACGGAAAUCCGCGCCGUCGCUAACGCAUUAAGUGCCCCGCCUGGGGAAGUCGGUCGCAAGCUAAACGUCAAANAGAGUAAGUAGNGUUGAGAGUUGCGAGCGACGACGAGGGAGAG
rnacentral:rRNA from 1 species